AAUGACAGCGGGGGAAAGAAAUGGCGGAGAAAUGGUUGUGGAUGUUAAUACCACGGAGGGGAUGCUGGAGCUCACGUGGGAAAGGUGCUGGACAAGGUAAAGCUGUCUUGCUGGGUGGUGGUGGUGUUGUUGUUGUUGAUGGUUGUGGUGGAGUUGUUGUUGGUGGUGGAGUUGUUGUUGUUGGUGGAGUUGUUGUUGGUGUUGGAGUUGUUGUUGUUGGUGGUGUUGUUGUUGUUGAUGGUUGUGGUGGAGUUGUUGUUGUUGUUGGUGGUGGAGUUGUUGUUGUUGGUGGUGGUGGAGUUGUUGUUGUUGGUGNNNNNNNNNNNNNNNNNNNNNNNNNNNNNNNNNNNNNNNNNNNNNNNNNNNNNNNNNNNNNNNNNNNNNNNNNNNNNNNNNNNNNNNNNNNNNNNNNNNNNNNNNNNNNNNNNNNNNNNNNNNNNNNNNNNNNNNNNNNNNNNNNGACCAGGACCAUACAGGGGAUUGUGGGGUGGACCAGAACCAUACAGGGGGCUGUGGGGUGGAUCAGAACCACACAGGGGGCUGGGGGGUGGACCAGAACCAUACAGGGUGUUGUGGGGUGGAACAGGACCAUACAGGGGGUGGAUUAGGAUGAUACAGGGGGCUGUGGGGUGGACCAGAACCAUACAGGGGGUAACGAAGUCCUUUGCUCCGUGUUUUCCAGGAAAACCCUCGGCUACAGCGGGAGGUCCCCUUACACAAUGGCAUCAUGUUCUAACAGAGGUAUCUACAUCGUUGAUCCCUGAGAUCUCCUCCCUGUCCUGGGUCACUACCACUGUGCCUCUGGUCAUGGUGCUGUUGAUCACUGCAGUUAAAGACGCCACUGACGACUAUUUCAGGUAUAAAAGCGAUCAGCAGGUCAACAGUCGUCAGUCUCAGGUACUCAGGGGAAAUCUACAGAAUGAGAAGUGGAUGAAUGUACGCGUGGGAGAUAUCAUCAAGCUGGAAAACAAUCACUUUGUGACAGCUGACAUUCUGCUGCUCUCUAGUAGUGAACCAUAUGGACUGUGUUACAUAGAAACGGCUGAGCUAGACGGGGAGACCAAUCUGAAGGUUCGUCAGGCUUUGACUGUGACCUCAGACUUGGGAGCAGACAUAACAAAGCUGGCUGACUUCAAUGGAGAAGUUAUCUGUGAGCCUCCCAACAACAAGCUGGACAAGUUCACAGGUACUCUGUACUGGAGAGAUAACAAGUACCCUCUGGAUAAUGAAAAGAUGCUGCUGAGAGGCUGUGUGCUCCGGAACACGGAGUGGUGCUUCGGAAUGGUCGUCUUUGCUGGGCUGCAAACCAAACUGAUGCAGAACUGUGGGAGGACUAAAUUCAAAAGGACCAGCAUUGAUAAACUGAUGAACACUUUAGUUUUAUGGAUAUUUGGCUUCCUAGUCUGCAUGGGUGUGAUCCUGGCUAUUGGCAACACCAUCUGGGAGCAGAAGGUUGGGAGGAGCUUCAGUGUCUAUCUCCUGUGGGAUGAACCAAUCAGAAACAACAAUGUGGUGUUCUCUGGGUUCCUCACCUUCUGGUCUUACAUCAUCAUCCUCAACACAAUGGUGCCCAUCUCUCUCUACGUCAGUGUGGAGGUUAUUCGUCUGGGCCACAGUUACUUUAUUAACUGGGACAGGAAGAUGUAUUACAUCCAGAAGGACACUCCAGCUGAGGCCAGAACCACCACGCUCAAUGAGGAGCUGGGCCAGGUGGAGUUUAUCUUCUCAGACAAGACAGGAACUCUCACACAAAACAUCAUGGUCUUCAACAAAUGCUCCAUCAACGGGAAGAGCUAUGGUGAUGUUUAUGAUGAAUUUGGCCAUAAAGUGGAAAUUACAGAGAGAACGGCCUGUGUAGAUUUCUCUUUCAACCCUCUGAGUGACAGGAAGUUUAAGUUUCAUGACAGUAGCCUGUUGGAGGCCAUCAAGAUGGAGGAGCCAUCAGUGCAGGACUUCUUCAGACUGCUGGCUUUGUGUCAUACUGUCAUGCCUGAGGAGAAGAAUGAAGGUAAUUCACCCUUUACAAGCAGCAUCACAGUCACUCACAACAAGCGUCAUCCGGGUUUGGCCGGGGAAUUUGCUGGUGAAGGCUUGCGAACACUGGCCCUGGCCUACAAAGACCUAGAUGAGAAUGUAUUAGAGGAAUGGAUGAAAAGGCUUCUGUAUGCCAGCACUGUGAUAGAGAACAGAGAGGAGGGACUGGCUGAUCUCUAUGAGGAAAUAGAGACAGGCCUCAUGCUCCUAGGAGCCACAGCAGUAGAAGACAAACUGCAGGAGGGGGUUCCUGAAACAAUCGCCUGUUUGACCCUGGCCAACAUCAAGAUUUGGGUUCUCACUGGGGAUAAGUUAGAGACGGCGAUGAACAUCGGCUACUCCUGCAACAUGCUGAGAGACGAUAUGAACGAAGUGUUUAUCAUAUCAGGACAUUCUGUCUUAGAGGUGCAGCAGCAACUCAGGAGUGCUAAGGAGCACAUCCUGGGCCUGGGUAGAGUCAGCGGUACUGUAGAUGUGGAGAAGACAGAUGACUUCUCAGAGGAUUCUGUAUUUGAAGAAACCAUAAUAGCAGAGUAUGCCUUAAUCAUCAAUGGACACAGUCUGGCCCAUGCCCUGGAGCCUGAGCUGGAGCAGGUCCUUCUGGAGACUGCCUGUCUGUGUAAGACAGUGAUCUGCUGUAGGGUGACUCCCAUGCAGAAGGCCCAGGUGGUGGAGCUGGUCAAGACGAACAAGAUGGCUGUGACUCUGGCCAUAGGAGACGGAGCCAAUGACGUCAGCAUGAUCAAGACUGCUCAUAUAGGUGUAGGUAUAUCAGGUCAGGAGGGCAUGCAGGCUGUGCUAGCCUCCGACUACUCCUUUGCCCAGUUCCGCUAUCUGCAGCGUCUCCUGCUGGUCCACGGCCGCUGGUCCUAUUUCCGCAUGUGCAACUUCCUGUUCUACUUCUUCUACAAGAACUUUGCCUUCACCCUGGUGCACUUCUGGUUCGGCUUCUUCUGUGGUUUCUCAGCUCAGGUAAUUAAAAGUGACAAAAAAAAAUUGAUAUAUAUAUUUUGGGAAAACUUAGGAACAAAAUGUACUUACGGUAAGCAUUGUUUUGAGUCCGAGGGUAUUUUUGUUGUGUUUUUUUCAGGCACAGCCCGUAACUGUCUGACUCAGAAGAGUGUGUGGCUGGUUAUAAUGCUGACCACUGUGGCGUGUGUCAUGCCAGGGUUGGCAGUCCGCUUUCUGAAGACAGACCUUUACCCCACCCUGACAGACAAGGUGCGGAGCCUGCAGCAGGCCAGCAGAAAGCUGGGUCCCAAGGAGCAGAACCUGAGACGUGUUCGGAGGACCAGCUCCCGGCGCUCAGCCUACGCCUUCUCCCACCAACAGGGCUAUGGAGAGCUCAUAACCUCAGGGAAGAACAUGAAGGUCACACCCAGCACCGCUGCCCCGUCCCCAUCCCUGUCCCCGUCGUCCCCUGGAAGGGUCCACAACAGCAGAAGUUUGAUAGAGGGCAUGUCGAAGAGGAAGGGGGAAACACCGGUAGCCUGUGUCUCUGCUGAGGCCUACGGAACAUCCGGAACCUCGGAAGGCAACACUAGAACUCAACAGACUGUAAUGGAUUCUAAUGUUGUUUCCAAUGGGGCCGUUCAGACAUGACCCUUUACGACCAGUUUUUAGAUUCCUAACAAGCUGUUUAGACUAUAAGAUGAUCCUGUGCGUCUACACCUGGCUCAGUGAGUAAGAGUUAGAGCAUGGUGCGGUCAACAUCAGGGUGGGGUUCGAUUUCCCACAUUGGAUCGAUCGGCCACAUAUACAGGUAACUGCCAAAGUAAUGGAAACACUUGAGUAAAUGAGGGUUCUGGCGGCUCUGUUAUGGUGCGAGGUGUGUUUUCCGGCCAUGGUUUAUGUCCACUGAACCCCCUUAGAGGGCAAGGUAAACUCCAAUAAAUACACAGCCAUUCUGAGUGAUACA
rnacentral:lncRNA from 13 species